CAGAAUGCUCAGUGAAUGUUCAGCCUCCACCUAGCCUGACAAUGACCUUCACUACAUGGCGACCAGGACCCUGAAUGUCCCUGACUGCAUUGCUACAUUCUAGCUGCUGCUUCCUGUAGGGCUUUAGUCUCCAGGCCCAUGUCAUGGCCUGCCAGUGACCUGGGUGUGGGCCCUGUACUAUGAGAGUUGCGUUUCCACUUCUCAGUGACUUGCAGACCAGCUCCAGUUUGGGAAAAUCUGCAUACUCCCUGCUGCCCAGAGGCUCAGCAUGCUUUCCCCACUCCACCACCACUUCCACCUAUCAGAUCAUCAGAUAUUAGAUCCUGAAGGUUGGGGGCCCCUGUAUUACAGCAUAGAGACAGACACUGCAAAGAAUAGCUGUGGCAGGGUCUCCAAGAGAGGGCAAAUACCAAGAAAUACUAUAUGGUGACUUGAAAAUCAAGAACCAUAGGAAGCUGGAUGCAGCCUGGAGACUGGCAUAUAGAAUUCAGCUCUGCCUG